rnacentral:rRNA from 1 species
UACGGGGGGGGCAAGCGUGGUUCAGAAUUACAGGGCGUAAAGGGCUCGUAGGUGGCCAACUAAGUCAGACGUGAAAUCCCCAGGCUCAACUUGGGAACUGCGUCUGAUACUGGAUGGCUUGAAUUCGGGAGAGGGAUGCAGAAUUCCAGGUGUAGCGGUGAAAUGCGUAGAUAUCUGGAGGAAUACCGGUGGCGAAGGCGGCAUCCUGGACCGAUAUUGACACUGAUGAGCGAAAGCUAGGGGAGCAAACGGG